GCCACAAAAUAGGCCUGGGAGACAUUUGUUUGCUUGAUAUAGAACUGUACGCCACCGUGCACAAAUCCUUUCACCUUUGUCUCAACUUCAUUAAAUAUUAUCAUCGUGGCUGCACCUUUCAUCUCGAUCAGCUAUCCCUGUUGGACGGUAACUUAAUUAUACGAAAGUACAAUGAACUAUAUCUAGAGCUCAAUCACCGUGCGUGACCCUGCAUAAAUUAACAAAAAUUCAGACAAAGACAUAUAACAAACACUUUUGUUUAGUUUCCGGACCUUGAUAGACUGUGACUUUACAUUGAAAGAUACAGCAUUUUGUAUCUAGAGCAGACACCAAUUCUCGUUCUAAUCGCACACUGAACGAUCGGGUAUAUAUAACAGCGGGGUGACACAAGAUUGGUAAGUAGUUUUUAAAAACCUUAUUAUUACAGCACACAUUUGAAUCCUUGUAAGUUGUAGCGAACGUU